rnacentral:rRNA from 1 species
UACGAAAGGUGCAUGCGUUACUCGGAAUCACUGGGCGUAAAGCGCACGUAGGCGGACUCGCAGGUCAAUUGUGAAAUACCUGGGCUCAACCCGGGAACUGCAGUUGAAACCGCUUGUCUCGAAUACCUGAGAGGGUGGGGGAAUACCUGGUGGAGAAGUGAAAUUCGUAGAGAUCAGGUGGAACACCGGAGGCGAAGGCGCCUGCCUGGCAGUGUAUUGACGCUGAGGUGCGAAAGUGCGGGGAGCAAACAGG